rnacentral:rRNA from 1 species
AUUGAACGCUGGCGGCAGGCCUAACACAUGCAAGUCGAGCGAGUGGCGGACGGGUGAGUAAUGUCUGGGGAUCUGCCUGAUGGAGGGGGAUAACUACUGGAAACGGUAGCUAAUACCGCAUACCAUCAGAUGAACCCAGAUGGGAUUAGCUUGUUGGUGAGGUAACGGCUCACCAAGGCGACGAUCCCUAGCUGGUCUGAGAGGAUGACCAGCCACACUGGAACUGAGACACGGCCCAUACUCCUACGGGAGGCAGCAGUGGGGAAUAUUGCACAAUGGGCGCAAGCCUGAUGCAGCCACUCCGCGUGGAUGAAGAAGGCCGUCGGGUUGUAAAGUACUUUCAGCCGGGAGGCGUUACCCACAGAAGAAGCACCGGCUAACUCCGUGCCAGCCGCCGCGGUAAUAC